AGGAUGAACGCUGGCGGCGUGCUUAACACAUGCAAGUCGAGCGAAGCAUUAAAACAGAUUUCUUCGGAUUGAAGUUUUGAUGACUUAGCGGCGGACGGGUGAGUAACGCGUGGGUGACCUGCCUCAUACAGGGGGAUAACAGACAGAAAUGUCUGCUAAUACCGCAUAAGCGCACAGUGCUGCAUGGCACAGUGUGAAAAACUCCGGUGGUAUGAGAUGGACCCGCGUCUGAUUAGCUAGUUGGUAAGGUAACGGCUUACCAAGGCGACGAUCAGUAGCCGGCCUGAGAGGGUGAACGGCCACAUUGGGACUGAGACACGGCCCAAACUCCUACGGGAGGCAGCAGUGGGGAAUAUUGCACAAUGGGGGAAACCCUGAUGCAGCGACGCCGCGUGAAGGAAGAAGUAUUUCGGUAUGUAAACUUCUAUCAGCAGGGAAGAAAAUGACGGUACCUGACUAAGAAGCCCCGGCUAACUACGUGCCAGCAGCCGCGGUAAUACGUAGGGGGCAAGCGUUAUCCGGAUUUACUGGGUGUAAAGGGAGCGUAGACGGCAUGGCAAGUCUGGUGUGAAAGGCAGGGGCUCAACCCCUGGACCGCAUUGGAAACUGUCAGGCUGGAGUGCAGGAGAGGUAAGUGGGAUUCCUAGUGUAGCGGUGAAAUGCGUAGAUAUUAGGAGGAACACCAGUGGCGAAGGCGACUUACUGGACUGUAACUGACGUUGAGGCUCGAAAGCGUGGGGAGCAAACAGGAUUAGAUACCCUGGUAGUCCACGCCGUAAACGAUGAGUACUAGGUGUCAGGGAGCAAAGCUCUUUGGUGCCGCAGCUAACGCAAUAAGUAUUCCACCUGGGGAGUACGUUCGCAAGAAUGAA
rnacentral:rRNA from 1 species